rnacentral:rRNA from 1 species
GACGAACGCUGGCGGCGUGCUUAACACAUGCAAGUCGAACGGAAAGGCCCUGCUUUUGUGGGGUGCUCGAGUGGCGAACGGGUGAGUAACACGUGAGUAACCUGCCCUUGACUUUGGGAUAACUUCAGGAAACUGGGGCUAAUACCGGAUAGGAGCUCCUGCUGCAUGGUGGGGGUUGGAAAGUUUCGGCGGUUGGGGAUGGACUCGCGGCUUAUCAGCUUGUUGGUGGGGUAGUGGCUUACCAAGGCUUUGACGGGUAGCCGGCCUGAGAGGGUGACCGGCCACAUUGGGACUGAGGUACGGCCCAGACUCCUACGGGAGGCAGCAGUGGGGAAUAUUGCACAAUGGGCGGAAGCCUGAUGCAGCAACGCCGCGUGCGGGAUGACGGCCUUCGGGUUGUAAACCGCUUUCGCCUGUGACGAAGCGUGAGUGACGGUAAUGGGUAAAGAAGCACCGGCUAACUACGUGCCAGCAGCCGCGGUGAUACGUAGGGUGCGAGCGUUGUCCGGAUUUAUUGGGCGUAAAGGGCUCGUAGGUGGUUGAUCGCGUCGGAAGUGUAAUCUUGGGGCUUAACCCUGAGCGUGCUUUCGAUACGGGUUGACUUGAGGAAGGUAGGGGAGAAUGGAAUUCCUGGUGGAGCGGUGGAAUGCGCAGAUAUCAGGAGGAACACCAGUGGCGAAGGCGGUUCUCUGGGCCUUUCCUGACGCUGAGGAGCGAAAGCGUGGGGAGCGAACAGGCUUAGAUACCCUGGUAGUCCACGCUGUAAACGGUGGGUACUAGGUGUGGGGUCCAUUCCACGGGUUCCGUGCCGUAGCUAACGCUUUAAGUACCCCGCCUGGGGAGUACGGCCGCAAGGCUAAAACUCAAAGGAAUUGACGGGGCCCCGCACAAGCGGCGGAGCAUGCGGAUUAAUUCGAUGCAACGCGUAGAACCUUACCUGGGUUUGACAUGGAUCGGGAGUGCUCAGAGAUGGGUGUGCCUCUUUUGGGGUCGGUUCACAGGUGGUGCAUGGCUGUCGUCAGCUCGUGUCGUGAGAUGUUGGGUUAAGUCCCGCAACGAGCGCAACCCUUGUUCACUGUUGCCAGCACGUUAUGGUGGGGACUCAGUGGAGACCGCCGGGGUCAACUCGGAGGAAGGUGGGGAUGACGUCAAGUCAUCAUGCCCCUUAUGUCCAGGGCUUCACGCAUGCUACAAUGGCUGGUACAGAGAGUGGCGAGUCUGUGAGGGUGAGCGAAUCUCGGAAAGCCGGUCUCAGUUCGGAUUGGGGUCUGCAACUCGACCUCAUGAAGUCGGAGUCGCUAGUAAUCGCAGAUCAGCAACGCUGCGGUGAAUACGUUCCCGGGGCU